GAUGAACGCUAGCUACAGGCUUAACACAUGCAAGUCGCGGGGCAGCAUGGGGGUUGCUUGCAAUCCCCGAUGGCGACCGGCGCACGGGUGAGUAACGCGUAUUCAACCUGCCCUUCACCACGGGAUAACCCGGCGAAAGUCGGACUAAUACCGUAUGUUGUCCAUUGACGGCAUCCGAUUUGGACGAAAGGCUUGGCGGUGAGGGAUGGGGAUGCGUCCGAUUAGCCAGGCGGCGGGGUAACGGCCCACCGUGGCUACGAUCGGUAGGGGUUCUGAGAGGAAGGUCCCCCACACUGGAACUGAGACACGGUCCAGACUCCUACGGGAGGCAGCAGUGAGGAAUAUUGGUCAAUGGGCGUAAGCCUGAACCAGCCAAGUAGCGUGCAGGAUGACGGCCCUAUGGGUUGUAAACUGCUUUUAUGCGGGGAUAAAGUGGCCCACGUGUGGGCUUUUGCAGGUACCGCAUGAAUAAGGACCGGCUAAUUCCGUG
rnacentral:rRNA from 1 species